rnacentral:rRNA from 1 species
GACAGAGGAUGCAAGCGUUAUCCGGAAUGAUUGGGCGUAAAGCGUCUGUAGGUGGCUUUUUAAGUCCGCCGUCAAAUCCCAGGGCUCAACCCUGGACAGGCGGUGGAAACUACCAAGCUGGAGUACGGUAGGGGCAGAGGGAAUUUCCGGUGGAGCGGUGAAAUGCGUAGAGAUCGGAAAGAACACCAACGGCGAAGGCAGCUCGCUGGGACGUGACUGACGCUGAGACGCGAAAGCGUGGGGAGCAAACAGG